rnacentral:rRNA from 1 species
GAUGAACGCUUGCUUCUUUCCUAAUACAUGCAAGUCGAGCGAACAGACGAGGAGCUUGCUCCUCUGACGUUAGCGGCGGACGGGUGAGUAACACGUGGAUAACCUACCUAUAAGACUGGGAUAACUUCAGGAAACCGGAGCUAAUACCGGAUAAUAUAUUGAACCGCAUGGUUCAAUAGUGAAAGACGGUUUUGCUGUCACUUAUAGAUGGAUCCGCGCCGCAUUAGCUAGUUGGUAAGGUAACGGCUUACCAAGGCAACGAUGCGUAGCCGACCUGAGAGGGGGAUAGGCCACAAUGGAACUGAGAACCGGUCCAGACUCUUACGGGAGGCAGCAGUAGGGAAUCUUCCGCAAUGGGCGAAAGCCUGACGGAGCAACGCCGCGUGAGUGAUGAAGGUCUUCGGAUCGUAAAAAUCUGUGAUGAGGGAAGAACAAAUGUGUAAGUAACUAUGCACGUCUUGACGGUACCUAAUCAGAAAGCCAAGGCUAACUACGUG